CAGUCGCCACGGUAAAACGAAGGGUGCAAGCGUUACUCGGAAUUACUGGGCGUAAAGCGUGCGUAGGUGGUGGUUUAAGUCCGUUGUGAAAGCCCUGGGCUCAACCUGGGAAUUGCAGUGGAUACUGGGUCACUAGAGUGUGGUAGAGGAUAGUGGAAUUUCCGGUGUAGCAGUGAAAUGCGUAGAGAUCGGAAGGAACAUCUGUGGCGAAGGCGACUAUCUGGGCCAACACUGACACUGAGGCACGAAAGCGUGGGGAGCAAACAGGAUUAGAUACCCCAGUAGUCCCUGUCUCUUAUAA
rnacentral:rRNA from 1 species